rnacentral:rRNA from 1 species
GAUGAACGCUAGCGGCAGGCUUAACACAUGCAAGUCGAGGGGUAUAGUUCUUCGGAAUUAGAGACCGGCGCACGGGUGCGUAACGCGUAUGCAAUCUACCUUUCACAGAGGGAUAGCCCCAGAGAAAUUUGGAUUAAUACCUCAUAGUAUAGCAGUUUCGCAUGAAACCACUAUUAAAGUUCCAACGGUGAAAGAUGAGCAUGCGUCCCAUUAGCUAGAUGGUAAGGUAACGGCUUACCAUGGCUACGAUGGGUAGGGGUCCUGAGAGGGAGAUCCCCCCACACUGGUACUGAGACACGGACCAGACUCCUACGGGAGGCAGCAGUGAGGAAUAUUGGACAAUGGGCGCAAGCCUGAUCCAGCCAUGCCGCGUGCAGGAUGACGGUCCUAUGGAUUGUAAACUGCUUUUAUACAGGAAGAAACACUACUUCGUGAAGUAGCUUGACGGUACUGUAAGAAUAAGGAUCGGCU